CCUACGGGGGGCAGCAGUGGGGAAUAUUGGGCAAUGGGCGCAAGCCUUACCCAGCAAUACCGCGUGAGUGAAGAAGGUCUUCGGAUUGUAAAGCUCUUUGAUCAGGGACGAACAGAUGACGGUACCUGAAGAACAAGCCCCGGCUAACUACGUGCCAGCAGCAGCGGUAAAACGGAGGGGGCGAGCGUUGUCCGGAAGGACUGGGCGUAAAGGGUGCGUAGGCGGCAUAAUAAGUUAGAAGGGAAAUACCCAGGGCUUAACUCGGGUGCUGCUUCUAAGACUGUUGAGCUUGAGUGCGGGAGAGGUUAAUGGAAUUCCUAGUGUAGCGGUGGAAUGCGUAGAUAUUAGGAGGAACACCAGAGGCGAAGGCGAUUAACUGGACCGUAACUGACGCUGAGGCACGAAAGUGUGGGUAGCAAACAGGAUUAGAUACCCUAGUAGUC
rnacentral:rRNA from 1 species